rnacentral:rRNA from 1 species
AGCAUAUCAAUAAGCGGAGGAAAAGAAACUAACAAGGAUUCCCCUAGUAACUGCGAGUGAAGCGGGAAAAGCUCAAAUUUGAAAUCUGGCAGUCUUUGAUUGUCCGAGUUGUAAUCUAGAGAAGUGUUACCCGCGUUGGACCGUGUACAAGUCUCCUGGAAUGGAGCGUCAUAGAGGGUGAGAAUCCCGUCUUUGACACGGACUGCCAAGGCUUUGUGGUGCGCUCUCAAAGAGUCGAGUUGUUUGGGAAUGCAGCUCAAAAUGGGUGGUAAAUGCCAUCUAAAGCUAAAUACAGGCGAGAGACCGAUAGCGAACAAGUACCGUGAGGGAAAGAUGAAAAGAACUUUGGAAAGAGAGUUAAACAGUACGUGAAAUUGCUGAAAGGGAAACGCUUGAAGUCAGUCGCGUUGGCCGGGAAUCAACCUUACUUUUGUUGGGUGUACUUUCUAGUCGACGGGUCAGCAUCAGUUUUGACCAGUGGAUAAAGGCGUAGGAAAUGUGGCAUCUUCGGAUGUGUUAUAGUCCUGCGUUGUAUACAUUGGUUGGGACUGAGGAACUCAGCACGCCGCAAGGCCGGGGUUCGCCCACGUUCGUGCUUAGGAUGCUGGCAUAAUGGCUUUAAUCGACCCGUCUUGAAACACGGACCAAGGAGUYUAACAUGCCUGCGAGUGUUUGGGUGGAAAACCCGAGCGCGUAAUGAAAGUGAAAGUUGAGAUCCCUGUCGUGGGGAGCAUCGACGCCCGGMCCAGACCUUUUGUGACGGAUCCGCGGUAGAGCAUGUAUGUUGGGACCCGAAAGAUGGUGAACUAUGCCUGAAUAGGGUGAAGCCAGAGGAAACUCUGGUGGAGGCUCGUAGCGAUUCUGACGUGCAAAUCGAUCGUCAAAUUUGGGUAUAGGGGCGAAAACUAAUCGA